rnacentral:rRNA from 1 species
GAUGAACGCUGACAGAAUGCUUAACACAUGCAAGUCGAUGGGGAAGUGGUGCUUGCACCAUGGUAACCAUGGCGGACGGGUGAGUAACGCGUAAGGAACUUGCCUGCGGGACUGGGAUAACAGCAGUAAACUGCUGAUAAUACCGGAUAAGGUCAUUAAGCUGCAUAGCUUAGCGAUGAAAGGAGACGCCUGCGGCGAGCCUUGCGUCCUAUUAGCUAGUUGGAGGGGUAACGGCCCACCAAGGGGAAGAUAGGUAGCCGGCCGGAGAGGGUGGACGGCCGAAAGGGGACUGAGAUACCGCGCUUACUCCUACGGGAGGCAGCCGUGAAGAAUAUUGGACAAUUGGCGCAUCCCUGAUCCAGCAAUUCUGUGUGCACGAAGACGGUUUUCGGAUUGUAAAGUGCUUUCAGCAGGGAAGAAGGAAGUGACGGUACCUGCAGAAGAAGCGACGGCUAAAUACGUG